rnacentral:rRNA from 1 species
CCUUCCACACUGCCAAGAAAAGCCUCUAGCGAGAUGUAAGGUGCCCGUACCGCAAACCGACACAGGUAGGCGAGGAGAGAAUCCUAAGGUGAGCGAGUGAACUCUCGUUAAGGAACUCGGCAAAAUGACCCCGUAACUUCGGGAGAAGGGGUGCUCUUGCGGGUGAAAGCCUGCGAGAGCCGCAGUGAAUAGGCCCAGGCGACUGUUUAGCAAAAACACAGGUCUCUGCAAAGCCGCAAGGCGACGUAUAGGGGCUGACGCCUGCCCGGUGCUGGAAGGUUAAGAGGAGGGCUUAGCGCAAGCGAAGGUCUGAAUUGAAGCCCCAGUAAACGGCGGCCGUAACAAUAACGGUCCUAAGGUAGCGAAAUUCCUUGUCGGGUAAGUUCCGACCCGCACGAAAGGCGCAACGAUCUGGGCACUGUCUCAACGAGAGACUCGGUGAAAUUAUAGUACCUGUGAAGAUGCAGGUUACCCGCGACAGGACGGAAAGACCCCGUGGAGCUUUACUGCAGCCUGAUAUUGAAUUUUGGCACAGUCUGCACAGGAUAGGCAGGAGCCUUAGAAGCCGGGGCGCCAGCUUCGGUGGAGGCGCUGGUGGGAUACUGCCCUGACUGUGUUGAACUUCUAACCCACACCCGUGAUCCGGGUGGGAGACAGUGUCAGGCGGGCAGUUUGACUGGGGCGGUCGCCUCCUAAAGUGUAACGGAGGCGCCCAAAGGUUCCCUCAGAAUGGUUGGAAAUCAUUCGCAGAGUGUAAAGGCACAAGGGAGCUUGACUGCGAGACCUACAAGUCGAGCAGGGACGAAAGUCGGGCUUAGUGAUCCGGUGGUUCCGCAUGGAAGGGCCAUCGCUCAACGGAUAAAAGCUACCCCGGGGAUAACAGGCUUAUCUCCCCCAAGAGUCCACAUCGACGGGGAGGUUUGGCACCUCGAUGUCGGCUCAUCGCAUCCUGGGGCUGUAGUCGGUCCCAAGGGUUGGGCUGUUCGCCCAUUAAAGCGGUACGCGAGCUGGGUUCAGAACGUCGUGAGACAGUUCGGUCCCUAUCCGUCGCGGGCGCAGGAAAUUUGAGAGGAGCUGUCCUUAGUACGAGAGGACCGGGAUGGACGCACCGCUGGUGUACCAGUUGUCUCGCCAGAGGCAUCGCUGGGUAGCUACGUGCGGACGGGAUAAGUGCUGAAAGCAUCUAAGCAUGAAGCCCCCCUCAAGAUGAGAUUUCCCAUUACGCAAGUAAGUAAGAUCCCUUGAAGAAGACGAGGUAGAUAGGUUCGUGUGGAAGUGUGGCGACACAUGGAGCUGACGAAUACUAAUCGAUCGAGGACUUAACCAA